rnacentral:rRNA from 1 species
AGCUACUAAGAGCGAAUGGUGGAUGCCUUGACUGGUAAAGGCGAUGAAGGACGUACUAGACUGCCGAUAAAG